rnacentral:rRNA from 1 species
AACGAACGCUGGCGGCAUGCCUAACACAUGCAAGUCGAACGAGACCUUCGGGUCUAGUGGCGCACGGGUGCGUAACGCGUGGGAACCUGCCUUUAGGUUCGGAAUAACUCAGAGAAAUUUGAGCUAAUACCGGAUAAUGUCUUCGGACCAAAGAUUUAUCGCCUUUAGAUGGGCCCGCGUAAGAUUAGCUAGUUGGUGGGUAAAGGCCUACCAAGGCGACGAUCUUUAGCUGGUCUGAGAGGAUGAUCAGCCACACUGGGACUGAGACACGGCCCAGACUCCUACGGAGGCAGCAGUGGGGAAUAUUGGACAAUGGGCGAAAGCCUGAUCCAGCAAUGCCGCGUGAGUGAUGAAGCCUUAGGGUUGUAAAGCUCUUUUACCCGUAGAUGAUAAUGACAGUAU